GACGAACGCUGGCGGCGUGCUUAACACAUGCAAGUCGAACGGAAAGGCCCUGAUUUUGUGGGGUGCUCGAGUGGCGAACGGGUGAGUAAGACGUGAGUAACCUGCCCUUGACUUUGGGGUAAGUUCAGGAAACGGGGGCUAAUACAGGAUAGGAGCCCCUGCUGCAGGGUGGGGGUUGGAAAGUCUCGGCGGUUGGGGAUGGAUUAGCGGCUAAUCAGCUUGCUGGUGGGGUGGGGGCUUACCAAGGCUUAGACCGGUAGGCCGCCUGGGAGGGUGGCCGGCCACAUUGGGCCUGCGAGAGGGACCAGAGUCCAACAGUAGACAGCAGGGGGAAGUAUGGCACAACGGUCGGAAGCCUGAGGCGGCAGCGCUGCGGGCGGGAUGACGUUCUUCGGGGUGUAAACCGCUUUCGCCUGUGACGAAGCGGGAGUGACGGUAAUGGGUAAAGAAGCACCGGCUAACUACGUG
rnacentral:rRNA from 1 species